rnacentral:rRNA from 1 species
CCUACGGGAGGCAGCAGUGGGGAAUAUUGCACAAUGGGGGAAACCCUGAUGCUGCGACGCCGCGUGCGUGAAGAAGUAUUUCGGUACGUAAAGCUCUAUCAGCAGGGAAGAAAAACCGGCCUUAGGGCCGCCAGACGGUACCUGACUAAGAAGCACCGGCUAACUACGUGCCAGCAGCCGCGGUAAUACGGAGGGGGCAAGCGUUAUCCGGAUUUACUGGGUGUAAAGGGAGCGUAGACGGCAGCGCAAGUCUGGAGUGAAAUGCCGGGGCCCAACCCCGGAACUGCUUUGGAAACUGUGCAGCUGGAGUGCAGGAGAGGUAAGCGGAAUUCCUAGUGUAGCGGUGAAAUGCGUAGAUAUUAGGAGGAACACCAGUGGCGAAGGCGGCUUACUGGACUGUAACUGACGUUGAGGCUCGAAAGCGUGGGGAGCAAACAGGAUUAGAUACCCCUGUAGUC